UACGUAGGUGGCAAGCGUUGUCCGGAUUUAUUGGGUUUAAAGGGUGCGUAGGCGGUCUUUUAAGUCAGUGCUGAAAUAUCCCGGCUUAACCGGGAGGGUGGCAUUGAUACUGAAGGACUUGAGUAAAGUUGAGGUAGGCGGAAUUGACGGUGUAGCGGUGAAAUGCUUAGAUAUUACAUGGAAUACCAAUUGCGAAGGCAGGUUACUACUAAUGGAUUGACGCUGAUGGACGAAAGCGUGGGGAGCGAACAGG
rnacentral:rRNA from 1 species